rnacentral:tRNA from 1 species
UGGCUUAGAGGUUAAAGUGUCUGCCUGGAAUGCGGGAGACUCAGGUUCGAUCCCUGG